AAAUUGGCGAACGAGUUACAACCGCCAGCGGACCAUGCAUCGAUUGCAUAUGCGGUGGCGAUGGCCAAAUGAAGUGUGAUCCCAAAGUCUGCACACCGGAGCCAAUGCUUCGUCAAAUGAUUGCAUCAGCGAAACGAAGAUAAAACAUUAACUAGGCAGUAUUUACUACAGGACAUUUACACAUCGCACACGUUUAUUUUAACCAAUUUUCAGAACAUAUAUGAAAUGAAAAUGCGCAUAAAUGAAACAAGCAAACAGCAAGAGCAAAAAAAUGGAAAUUAACACAAAAAAAACACACACACACAUUUUAAAUGUAGCUCCUAGGUCUGAUUAGUCUGUAUAAAUAUAUGAAGCAAGUAUCUAGUAUCUAUUGAUCUGAAAUGAGAGUUAAACAAGAAAAAUAAAACAUACAUAAAGACGUAGCCCGUAGUUUGCCUAGGUCAUAAGGAUAAUUUUACGAAACAAAAAAGAAGAAAAAAUUAAAAUAAUUGAUGAAUGUGACACGCGUAAUGAUUAAAUUAAUAAAAGAAGAAGAAAAAACAACAGCAACAAAGUACGAUAUAAGCAUAAGAAGUAAUUCCAUUUGUUAAGUUAAGCGUAGAGAAAAGGCGAUACGUAUAUUAAAAAAAAAAACAAAAAAACAA